CUGCGGCCGAGGCGCUGCGGGCGCACACGUAAAAAGCAAGUCAGAAGUGAUACCGAUUACGUUUGGCAUUUCCUGAACAUGUAUGGUGACACCCUCCCGUUUAUUGUGUGCCGUUGCUUGUUCAUGGCGUAGGACGGAAAAACGGGCGGGGGUAGAAAGUCAAAAGGAUGUCAGCCGAGAGCGGAGCGUGGCCAUUAGUCAUCACCUGAGCGCAUAUCGACUGCGGUGGGCGGGGUCUAACACGCCGG